UACGUAGGGUGCAAGCGUUGUCCGGAAUUAUUGGGCGUAAAGAGCUCGUAGGCGGUCUGUCGCGUCGGAUGUGAAAACCCAGGGCUUAACCCUGGGCCUGCAUUCGAUACGGGCAGACUAGAGUUCGGUAGGGGAGACUGGAAUUCCUGGUGUAGCGGUGAAAUGCGCAGAUAUCAGGAGGAACACCGGUGGCGAAGGCGGGUCUCUAGGCCGACACUGACGCUGAGGAGCGAAAGCGUGGGGAGCGAACAGG
rnacentral:rRNA from 1 species